GAGUUUGAUCGUGGCUCAGAACGAACGCUGGCGGCAGGCUUAACACAUGCAAGUCGAGCGCCCCGCAAGGGGAGCGGCAGACGGGAGAGUAACACGUGGGAACGUACCCUUCAGUUCGGAACAACCCAGGGAAACUUGGGCUAAUACCGGAUACGUCCGUAAGGAGAAAGAUUUAUCGCUGAGGGAUCGGCCCGCGUCUGAUUAGCUAGUUGGUGAGGUAACGGCUCACCAAGGCGACGAUCAGUAGCUGGUCUGAGAGGAUGAUCAGCCUCACUGGGACUGAGACACGGCCCAGACUCCUACGGGAGGCAGCAGUGGGGAAUAUUGGACAAUGGGGGCAACCCUGAUCCAGCAAUGCCGCGUGAGUGAUGAAGGCCUUAGGGUUGUAAAGCUCUUUUACCGGGGACGAUGAUGACGGUACCCGGAGAAUAAGCCCCGGCUAACUUCGUGCCAGCCGCCGCCGUAAU
rnacentral:rRNA from 1 species